ACGGAGUUUUCACAAUAACUGCUUCUCAUGAACCGAAGCUGGAUUUGCGCGACGUUUCCUCCUGAAAGUUGGAUUACUGUGCAAUUCUGGAUCACAGGCUAUUCGCAGCUGGACACAUCCUUCUACACUGUAUGCAAACAUGCAACAUCAUUACACACAGUACAAGGAGUCAGACUGGCAUAUGAGGAGCAAAGGAACCCAGGCAGUAGCAUCGUUUCACAAUGUUUCAAUCACCAUCAUCAGUGGAUGCCUUUGCCGUCCGUAGCCUGAGAUUUCAGAUUUGCAGCAAAAAAUUUGAUUUUCUCAUUUAUUGGAAUGCUGUGCAGGUAUUUAAGUAUUUUAGUAACUGUGUUAAAUAAAGUAGUAUUUACUUUUACAAUAAAUGUAUUCCUUGUUUAUAUUUUUACAGGUUGUACCUUGCAACCAUCCAUUACAAUGUCACC